CGACCCGCCAGUCAACCUCAACACUCUGACGAUUGACCUCGGAUCAGGUAGGGAUACCCGCUGAACUUAAGCA
rnacentral:rRNA from 1 species